rnacentral:ncRNA from 1 species
GUCUUUGUGGCAGGGUGUAAGUCCCUACCGAUGGUGAAAGUCCAUGACUCGCUUAACAGCGACUGAUCUGGUGCAAUUCCAGAACCGACGGUAUAGUCCGGAUGAGAAAAGAC